GCUCAGUCCUUCCUGUUCAGACCCAGAAGAGGUUCUGGCCAACAGACCAGGGACCCCAGGUUUAAGCCUUCUGAAACACUUUCUUGCGGAAGGGCGAAAAAUUGCUGAAUUGAUCUUUUCAAAUUAACAUGGGAUCCAAAUGAAACAAAUUUGGAAGAAGAGAACUUUCUCCUCCAAGUGGCUGCCAGCACCCAGCCCCACCCCCGCCAGCUGAAGUGUCCCUUGUUCUUGCCUGCUGUGCCCCAGAUUCAUGGGCCACUCUCCGAAUCGUUGGCAAUGUUCUCUGCACUGUCCUGACAACCUCAGGCCAUGAAAUUAAAAAGCUAGUUACUGCA